rnacentral:lncRNA from 1 species
GCUCCAACAAUAAGCGACCUCCUUUCGGCCUCCCACAAGAACCGGACUCCGUCCGAGCCUCCACAGUGGAUGGAUUCCAGAUGAGAUUUCGCAACGGAUGGACUCUGACAGUUGGAUUCUUACAAUGAUCGAUCACCUCCGACGUCUACCGAACCUCCCUAGCGCCAUCCGAAGUCCAUCACCGGUCGACCCCCCGCCAGAUACUUCAUGAAAUCGAACUUCUCCAAUGGAUCAUCUUCGGACGAGCUUCCACAUCAAGUGAAUCCCAGACGGACUUCUCUAGCAAUCAGAUUCUUACCAGGCUUCACCAACGAAAAGUCUCCAUCCGAGCUUCUACAGCAGAUGAUUUUCACCCAUAGUAUCAGCACCUAAGGUAUCCAACAAUAGUAGACUCGUUAGCAACCUCGGAGACAUCCAAGCUUCUCCCAGAUCGAUGGGAUAGAGAGCCAUCCCACUCCAUCAGAUGUUUCAGUCGAGCUCCAGCCGACAGAUCCGAACUCUCUGGCAAGUCACGACAAUGGCCACUAUCCUGCUCUACUCCCUGCAACGGAUUCUGCGUGGCUCCACUACUCUCUGGCAAGACGCGAUAAUGGAC